AUGAACGCUGGCGGCGUGCCUAAUACAUGCCAGUCGAGCGAACAGAUGAGGAGCUUGCUCCUCUGACGUUAGCGGCGGACGGGUGAGUAACACGUGGAUAACCUACCUAUAAGACUGGGAUAACUUCGGGAAACCGGAGCUAAUACCGGAUAAUAUAUUGAACCGCAUGGUUCAAUAGUGAAAGACGGUUUUGCUGUCACUUAUAGAUGGAUCCGCGCCGCAUUAGCUAGUUGGUAAGGUAACGGCUUACCAAGGCAACGAGGCGUAGCCGACCUGAGAGGGUGAUCGGCCACACUGGAACUGAGACACGGUCCAGACUCCUACGGGAGGCAGCAGUAGGGAAUCUUCCGCAAUGGGCGAAAGCCUGACGGAGCAACGCCGCGUGAGUGAUGAAGGUCUUCGGAUCGUAAAACUCUGUUAUUAGGGAAGAACAAAUGUGUAAGUAACUAUGCACGUCUUGACGGUACCUAAUCAGAAAGCCACGGCUAACUACGUG
rnacentral:rRNA from 1 species